AUGUUUCCCCAGGAGUGAUAUGGAUUUUUUUAUGUCUCUCAGGAGAUGUACAGGCCCCCAGAACCUGGGGGGAAAAGGUACCUAGAAGAAGUAACUUGGAGAAUUCUAUGCAUCGAGUUUCACUAGGGCCUCACUAUGUAGCCCUGACUAGCCUGGACCAGACUACAGAAAGACCCACCUGCUGGGAUUAAAGACCACACUGUCCCAGGUUCCCUUCUGCAAAACAAAGAGGUUCUUGAUCGGAGGCCUAGUUCUCAACCAGAUCGCAACCAUUCAGAACAGUUCCCCUGGGCUGGUAGAGUGCCUGUCUACACAGCAUGGAAGACUGUGGGCUUGACUCCAACACCAUGAAGAGGUAGUGCAGAGGGAGAGGUCUGAACCACCAAACUCACUUAAUUCAGAGACUCUCAUAAAGGACACACGGAAAGGCCAUACACACUAAAAUGUGCGUGUAUUAACAAACCUAAUUCCUUGGUUGUUUGUUUGCCUGGACAGGGGCUCACUAUGUAGAACAGGCUGGCCUUGACUCGAAUAGAUCUGCUUGUCCUGAGUGCUGGGGUUAGUGUUUGACCUUGAGGCAGCAUGUGCCAGCAUCUCACUCCCAUUGUAUGGGUUUUCCACCCCCGGUUGAUGGACAAUGCUCUUGCAGGCAAAUGUAUGGAUACCCAUGCUGUAAGUCUAAGCUCUGCCCACACCCCUCACAGCCACCCCCUUGGCUACCUGCUAGGCCUAGAGUGCACACACGGUUCUGCUCCUGGUAGGCUGCACAACCUUCAGAAGCAAGUGGAAUUAUUUGGACAAGGAAUUUGGGGUCCCCUGCAUCUAUCUGAAAGAUGGUCCGGUAGGAGGGUAGAACUGUGGGUACAUUCCCUCGGCCCUGUGGAGGGGGCACCGUGGAGGGGCCUGUAUAGCCCUGGGUCUUGGCAUCUGCUUCAGAAUGAGAACCAAGCUGCAACCUCACUACUCUUCAGUGGCUCACACUUAGUGCUAUUAAGUACACCAGCUGUGCAGCUGACAUUGCCAGGUCCAGAAUGGUUUUGUUGGUUUGUUCGUUUGCUUGUUCGUUUUCUUAAUGCUGGAUCCUGAGCUCAGGGGCCUGCUCAUGUUCUACCCCUGAGCUUCACAGGACACAACUCAACUGUCGCCUUCCCUGAGUGAUCCUGCUCUCUCACCAAGCACAAGUGGGUAGCUCACCCCAUGCUGUCAGGACGUCUGCUCCCUUCCCUGGGGAGGCCCUGUGUUAUGCAGUUCAGGACCUCAUCCUAGCACCCAGUGUGGUGUGUGGCGUUCAGAAACGUUUGGAGAUGGCUAAGUGAGAGAAACUGGGUCUAGAGCAUCCCCUUCUCCCCACUGCCUCUUUCUCAUCCCCACAUCCAGCCAUGCCCCUCAAGACUUUCUCUGGGAAAGAGUGGAAAGGAAAGCAAGCCUGUAGUGCUGGGCAGUAGUGGUGCAUCUCUGAGUUCGA